GAGUGAAACUCAAAGGAAUUGACGGGGACCCGCACAAGUAGCGGAGCAUGUGGUUUAAUUCGAAGCAACGCGAAGAGCCUUACCUAAGCUUGACAUCCCAAUGACAUCUCCUUAAUCGGAGAGUUCCUUUCGGGGACAUUGGUGACAGGUGGUGCAUGGUUGUCGUCAGCUCGUGUCGUGAGAUGUUGGGUUAAGUCCCGCAAC
rnacentral:rRNA from 1 species